CUCUCUCUCUCUCUCUUCUGUUUCUCAAUCUAUUAGAUAAUUCAAAAUCCAACGAUCACAUUCAUAAAGAGAAAAAAACAGAAAAAUCCGAACGAAUUUUUUAGGGUUUCGGAAAAUUAGGGCUUGAAUUCCUUCUCUAAAAGAUUCAGCGAUUUCGGUAUAAAUGAAGUUGAAGAUCAACAAAGCCUGCGAUCUCAGCUCCAUCUCUGUUCUUCCUCCUCAUACAAGGAGAUCGAGCCUGGCUCCGAGUGGACCACAACCAUCACAGCUUAGAUCGCAGCUAUCGCAACAGUCAUUCUCACAGGGGAUUUCAUCUCAACAUGCCUUGUUUUCCCAGAUCUCACAGAACUCACUCGAUGAAGUCGUGACAACUGAUCAGAGAUUUUGUUCUCAAGAACGAGAGAAUACUGGGAAGAAGCUUUCUUGCUUGCCUUCAACCAACUUUACAAGAGAAGAUAGUCAAAUGCCAAUUUCUAGACCUUCCACCAACCUAAUACGCAAAUGGAAUUCUGCUUCUGCUCCAGAACAUAGAUUUCAAACAUCUGAAGAACUUGAGCGCCGGCUUUCAAUGAUUGAAACUUCAUUAAAUAGAUUUGGAAUGAUCUUGGAUUCUGUUCAGAGUGAUGUAAUGCAAGUGAAUAAAGGAACAAAAGAAGUAUUGCUGGAAAUGGAAGGGAUACGACAGAAGUUGAUUUCUGAAGAUACCUCCCUAAAGCUAAUGAACAAGGGACAAGAAGAUAUCAAAGCCAGCCUUGAUGGUGGCAUGAAAGCCAUAUCAGAGCAACUAAACAUGGAUAUAUAUCGAGACAAAUUACAACAGAUCUUCUUGGUGCUUUCUGCAUUACCAGAACAGACGGAAGCUUCUCUACUCAAAUUACGAAAUGAGCUUUGCAACACCUUCACCGACGAAAUAAAGUUACUUUCAUCAAUUGCUUGCAAUGUAAAGACUCUCAGCCAAAAAGGUCCAGUUGCUACUGCUAUUCUACCGAAGUCUACCAGCUGUUGUGCAUCUCCACAAAGCAAGCCUCAGGCAGUUAAGAAUCAAGCUGUGCCUCCAAAAGUUUAUGAGCAACCCACUCAAUCUCCAAAGGUUGAAUCAGGGGACUGGAAAUCUGUGAAAAUGAAACAAUCUACUAUACGUGAAAGGGCAACCUGUAAAGAGAAAAAGAGGAAGGGAGUUUCUUCUGUUGAACAGGAAACAUACGGAAUUUUAAUUGAAUCAGAUGAAGAGAUCAAUGGAGGCUUUUCAUGCUUACUUGAUUGCAAUGAAACAGAUGCUAGAUAUCUCCAUGUUAUGAUUACGCAUCGAAGAACUUUUGAGGGUUUUCACUGAGGCUCCAUUGUAUUUGGUUUGGUUGCCAGUUUGGGCAACUUCUCCAUCAAUUGCUCGAAAGUUUAUUAAUGGAUGAUGAUGCAUUUCGAAAAUAAAAAAUAAAAAUACCUGAAAGUAGGUUUGUAGUUUACUCCUCCCCGUUGGAACACCAAAAUAUUUCCCCUUGGGUUGGGUUCCAUUGAAAGGCCCAACUUAAGCCCAUUUAGUUGGACACUGAACUCUGAAGUCUGAAGGAGCGAACAGGCCUGUUUUACAUGGUAAGCUAAAGUGUUUAUACUUUGUUUUGUAUAAAGUAUAUCAAAAAAUAUAUACGGAUUAUAUUUCCAAAUCAC